AGUGGAUGGGGAGCAACCUAGUUGUGAGUGUGGAAAGGUGGUGCCAAGAAAAGCUGUCAGAAUGAUGAGAAUUGAGUCCCGGUACCCGAAACCGUCACAGGUAGGCAAGUAGAGAAUACUAAGGGGCGCGAGGUAACUCUCUCCAAGGAACUCGGCAAAAUGACCCCGUAACUUAGGGAGAAGGGGUGCCACCGAGAGGUGGUCGCAGUGAAGAGGCCCAGGCGACUAUUUAGCAAAAACAUAGGUCUCUGCAAACUCGAAAGAGGAAGUAUAGGGGCUGACGCCUGCCCAGUGCCGGAAGGUUAAAGAAGUUGGUCAGGAGAAAUCUGAAGCUGGCGACUGAAGCCCCGGUGAACGGCGGCCGUAACUAUAACGGUCCUAAGGUAGCGAAAUUCCUUGUCGGGUAAGUUCCGACCCGCACGAAAGGCGUAACGAUCUGGGCGCUGUCUCGGAGAGAGGCUCGGCGAAAUAGGAUUGUCUGUGAAGAUACGGACUACCUGCAUUUGGACAGAAAGACCCUAUGAAGCUUUACUGUAGCUUGAAAUUGUGUUUGGGCUUCCUGUGCGCAGGAUAGGUGGGAGGCGAGGAAGGUCUGCUUGUGGGCAGAUUGGAGCCAACCGUGAGAUACCACUCUCAGGAGGCUAGAAUUCUAACUUAAUUAAGGACAGUUUCAGGUGGGCAGUUUGACUGGGGCGGUCGCCUCCAAAAAGGUAACGGAGGCGUACAAAGGUUCCCUCACACUGGUUGGAAAUCAGUGGCAGAGUGCAAAGGCAGAAGGGAGCUUGACUGCGAGACGGACAAGUCGAGCAGGGUGGAAACACGGUCUUAGUGAUCCGACGGUGCUGUGUGGAAGGGCCGUCGCUCAACGGAUAAAAGUUACUCUAGGAUAACAGGCUGAUCUCCCCCAAGAGUUCACAUCGACGGGGAGGUUUGGCACCUCGAUGUCGGCUCAUCGCAACCUGGGGCGGAAGUACGUCCCAAGGGUUGGGCUGUUCGCCCAUUAAAGCGGUACGUGAGCUGGGUUCAGAACGUCGUGAGACAGUUCGGUCCAUAUCCGAUGUAGGCGUGAGAAUAUUGAGAGGAGCCUUCCUUAGUACGAGAGGACCGGGAAGGACGCACCGCUGGUGUACCUGUUAUGAUGCCAAUCUAAACGCAGGGUAGCCAAGUGCGGAGAGGAUAACCGCUGAAAGCAUCUAAGUGGGAAGCCCACCUCAAGAUGAGUAUUCUGGUGUAAGGUCACGGGGAGACGACCCGUAGAUAGGCACGAGGUGGAAGUGCAGAGAUGUAUGAAGCCGAAGUGUACUAAUAGACCGUCGGCUUGACC
rnacentral:rRNA from 1 species